rnacentral:misc_RNA from 1 species
GAGCACUUCUUUCUGUUUGCUUUCUACAGCUGCACCAUUGGACACUUCCUCCCCUUCAACAUAGUUCUCCCAAAUCUUAAGUUUCUGACGCUUAGCAGAUCGUUCCGCUUGUUCAAGAAGGUGAGCAUCUGGUAUUCUAUCACUGCUAAAGGAAGUUUGAAUCUUUGCCAAACCAGCCUCAACUAGAACCACUGCCAUGUUGGUCCUCGCUUCCCACAGGGAUCCCAAAAAGGUUCCCGUUCUAUCAACAGUUUCCACUUCAAUCUCCACAUCUCUCUGCAUUAUCUUCCGCCGCAUUAAGGCAAUUGCUUCAUCUGAAUAUGGCUCAUCGCGACCAGGACAUCUCACACCAGAGAAAGCAAAAGCAAUGCUACAUGUCUCCUUCGGAAUCAACAAUUUGAAACGGUGACCACUGAGAACAUAUUCAACAACAGCUGGAAUCCUCCUACUCCGGUGUAGGAAUGGCAAAAAGUCUCGGGACUUUUUGGCUGGUGCUGUCAAAAGGUCUGUCACAUGCAUGACAGGAGGAUCCUUGGCAGAAUGAAUUCCCUUCUUUCCAGCAAUAGCACGUGAUUCAGCCGCAAGAAGUGCAUCAUAGUAGUUUGAUCUCUCCUCAAAAUCACGAUGCCUAAUCACAGUGCCAAAACCACGUGAUACAACUAGCUCACCGACAUUCACCCCAGCUUGUUGGUCACUACUGUUUUUAGCAGAAGGGUCCUCACCCUCAGCCUUAGUAGAAGACAAUAGGAAGACAGAUCCAAAAUCCAUCACUCUAGAAUCUGGAGGAGCAGCUGCAGGUCCAUCCACCAUGCUGACUUUCCUAGAAUACUCCAUUUGGACUUUAACUUGUCGACCAAUGAGGCGUGUUCUUAAGAACUCUUUUGCUUCACGGGCAUAAGGAGCAGGCUUUUCAUCCCUACGAGGAUUGCCCAUUUUUGGGCACCUAAUACUUGAUAGGUUGACACGCCUCUCUGCCAGUGGACUUCCAUAUGGAACUGCGUCAUCAGCCACAAUAAUGCAAUCACCACUUACAACUUCUACCACCUUCCCCAUGAAAUUCUGAUCAUGAAUUGCCUUUGAAUUUGAUGGUGGAGGUACAUAGUUAGCCCAUAAUCUUAGGCGGGUUUUCUUCGCCUGAAGCUCUGCAGCCUUCAGCCGUCGCUUGGCAUCUUCUUCCAUCAUAUUCGCACUCCACUCAACAUAUUUAGCUAAACCAUUUUCUACUAGCUCCAAUGCCAGAUCUUUCGCUGUUUCCCCAUCAGAGUAGUACACUGACCCAAUCAAAUUGCUAAAUUUGUCAACUCCUUCCAGGACA